rnacentral:rRNA from 1 species
UCCGACCUCAGAUCAGACG